UCGUGUGAGGGUGUAGGGAGAGGAAGCACUAACCGCCGCCGCCGACCUCCCUUCGCUGUAAUCGCCAGCCGUCCUUGUCCUCUAUCUUUCGCAUUCCAGGGGUGGUUGUAGUGUUAUUGUCUCCGGAUUUCUCGUCGAUUUCGCUUGCUAAGUUCUUCGAAAUCCUAUUUUACCAUCUUUGUUUGCGUUUGUAUCUCUGUUGCUGUUGUGGGUCUGUUUGAUGGAUUGGUGCAGAUGAGGAUUCACAAGUUUUAAUGGGUAAUUUGCAUCUGAGGCAUCUCUGUGAUGUCACACCCUUUUUCACCUUGGAGAUCUGAUGCACCCACCACUCUGUCCAAAUAUCUCCCUCAAGCAGUAGACAUUUUUUUUUUCAUUUUUUCUGCCUCUGUAACCUUCGAUUUAGAUGUCUCGAUUUGGACUGAUAUUUCUGAGGGAAGGAAAUCAAAUCUCUGCUCGUGGUUCAUUGAUGCCUACCGAUCCGGUCUCUGUAUGUGUGGAGAUGAAAUGAUGACGAAAGUGUUUCCCUAUUGGUUUGAUUGGCCGCAAUGAUGGCUCAAACUGUAUUAGCUCUAUCUGAUCAUCUCCCGUCUCUUUAUCAAACUAUAAAUGUGUAAUUUUCCUUAGAAAACGAUUUCUAUGUCUUCACUCAAAGUGAUCUCGCCAUUCCCACCAUCCUUACAUUACUCAGCCAUCACCAGUUCCUCGUAUUUAGUCAGAUUAGUUUUUUUUAUAAAAAAAAAUCCCCUCUUGACGUCAAUGUUAUUAGUUGAGGAUAUGAUGACCCUUUCCCCAGAUGAUCGACAGUGAACAUACUGAGCGCUAUAAUUUCUCAUUUGAGAACCAAGCCAGAAUUCUGAUCCUCUGAUUGUUUUCUGAAAAAAAAACAAUUUCUCUUGAUUGUUUGUUGAUUUACCUUUUUUCUUUGUAUCUAUACUAUAAUGUGUCACCUUGUUGUCUGCAUAUAUGGUACCUUUGCACCAUUGCAUGAAGCAUUGGUUGAGCAUGAGUGGGGACAUUCGGCUGGGCUUGUCUCAAGUUUAAUGUGUUAUUCCUAUUUCUUUGAGAACGAUUUGUAUGUAUACACCAAAAUCAUUUAACAUUUUGACAGCUCAACAGUAUAGAUAUUUAGCACAGUGAAACUAAACUGAGCCGGAGAUAUGAUGAGCUCUGUUGAGCUGCGUUCCCGCUGGAUGAUUUUUAGGGCGACAUGGAGAUCAGAUGGAUCGCGGACUCACUUCUCAACCCGUGGGCCGUGUGGAAUGGCCGAAUGGUCUGAAAUUGUGAACCAAACCAACUGUGCAGGUGUAUUUUGUUUGAUGAGCUGUCAGAACCAGGAAGCGUGCUCUCUCAGUUGUGUAGUGAAUUUUGUUUUGGAAAAAAACGAAGUAGCAGUACUAGGAUUUUUUAUGACAUGACAAUGAAUCUUGGAAGGGUGAAAAAACAAAGUAUUGUGACAGAUUGAACAAGACGAUCAACUCUUGUGAUCAACUAUCUAAUAAAACCUUGUAUUGAGAUUGCAAGUUUCAGUUUUCUCAAAAAAAAAAAAAAAUCCAAGUUUCAGUUUUGGAAACAUUAGACUGACCUAAAUCUUAGAUAGUGAAGUUUCUAUAACGUCUCCGAAUCACCAUGAAUCCAUGAUUCUCAACGGUUGUUGUACUGUUUUCAGCAUUUCUGCUACGUUUGGAAUUCUGGAUAAACUACAGAAAUUGUAUGUUAGGAAUUUUGAGGCCUUGUUUAGUUCUUAAAAUUUUUCAAGAUUUUACGUCACAUCGAAUCUUGUGGCAUAUGUAUGAGGAAUUAAAUAUAGAUGAAAAUAAAAACUAAUUACACAGUUAGCUUUUAAAUCGCUAGAUGAAUCUUUUGACCCUUGUUAGUGUAUGAUUGGACAAUAUUUGCCACAAACAAAAUGAAAGUGCUCUAGUAGUGAAAUUUAAAAAUUUUCACGGACUGAACCAGGCCUGAAUCGUUGAGCUGGGUCAGAAAUUUCUUUUGUUCAUCCAGGUGCAAAAUUGAACAAAUAAAAAAAAAAAGCAUUCCAAAUCCAGCCGGUCGCCGGAGGCACAGCCUAGUGCUUGGAUCGAAUACCCAAAUUGCCCGUUCCCUCCCCUCAAAAAAAAAAAAAAAAAAGGCCGUUCCCCGGAGGCACAGCCUAGUGCGGCUUUCUCGUCACUGCUCGCCCCUCACCAGCUGUCUUCCGCUCAUCCUCACCAGUGAUGGAACCACCGGCGGUGGCUUCUACUUUGCAGCUGCAGCUGCCUCUCGUGGUUUGAACAAGUGCUGGAUUCAGACUACGUGGCAUCACGCAGGAACAGCUAAGGUCCGCGUCAGCAUUUGUCUGCCACGACGUACGUGCACGGUGACGUGGAGUCGACGUCAUGCUUAUUGGCAGCCGGCAGCAACAUACAGUAGGUGCUCGUCCGCUCCAAAUAUAUGGUCAAAAAUUGUUUGCUAAUGGUCAAAAAAAAUGACAACAAUCCGAGACAUUGCCACCAACCGAGACACGUCAUUAUUGUUAUUAUCGUUAUCCGUGGUGUAGCUACCCAGUCCAACAGACGUAAUACAGUACUAGACUAAAAGCGAUGCAUAACCAACAACUGUUGGUGUGCUGCCUUCACAAAGGUACAAACAUGAUCGUCAUGUUUGUUUGGCUAUAAAUCAUGACAGAAAGUACCGUUGACUAAUUUGUUGUGAGAGAAAAAUAUUGCUGAAUGGCUGACAGAUUCGGCUAAUAAGCUCAAUCGAACACAGCAAAUCCGACAUAUAAUUAUAAGUAUCAUGCACGCUAAAAACAGCGCCUAGGAUCAAAUGCAAUAUUUUCUUUAGUUACCCCCUUGGUUCCUAAACAAAUCUACUUGUUAUAGAAAAAAUCGCCUUCUAAAAUGAUAUUCUAAAAUAAACUUGUGUGAGUUUGACCAAAUAUAUAUUACAGAAAGAUUUGAAAUUUUUAUGAUACAAAAAAUAGUUUUAUGAAAUAUAUUUUUAUAAUAAUGAUUUAUUCGGUGUUAUAAAGCUGAUAUUUUUCAUAUGAGAUUGAUCAAGCUUACAAAAAUUCAACUUAAAACAACUUUACAAAGUUUUGAUUUAUUUUAAGGAGGGAGUAACUAACAAGAUCAGCACGUUUGCGGUCAGAGGCAGAGCUCUCCAUGCGACAGGGUGGGGCAGCUGCCCCACCUACUGCUGGGGUAAGACCACUAGUACCUCCAUGUCUUCCUCCCUUCACGUGAUGGAGCAGCUAGCAUCCGACACAUGCAGCGACGAGCAGUCGUCAAGAGCAGUAGCCAGACAGAAUGGAAAAUAGGGAGGGAAGAAAAGAAAGGCCCAAUAAACCCAGCUAUCCCAAGUAGAAGCGUCCCUACUGAACCCCUAAUUCCCAAUCGAGCUCACUACUCGGCUUACUGCUCCUCCCGUUCGCCGUUCGCGACUUCGCGUCUGCCGGUCCGUGCCUCCACGGUCCGCUUCCCGCUGGCCGCCGGCACAAGGUCGGAGCUCCGCGCAACACCCCAAGCCAGGCCCCAAGCUGGCCAGCCCCCAACUCCAAGCCCACGCCGCGCACUCGACGCUCGCUGUCUGCUCCCGCAGACCGCAGUCCCGCAGUCCCGCUCUAAGCUGCUCUGAUGGCCGGCGAGGAGAUGACAAGCGCUGGCCACGGGCGUGGGCGUGGGCAUGGCCGGGGAGAAGGUGAAGGAGCACGAGAAGGAGGAGCAGGCCGAGGUCAUGGCCGAUGCGCAGGCACCCUAAACAGAAGCAGUCAUGCCUCUUCUGGUAUUGGAAAGAAAAAAUUUGUAACAAGAGAUUUGAAGUCAUUUUAUUCAAGUAUGAAUCUUGGUUCUGAAUCCCACCCAAGUACCCAUAAAAGUCAAAUUGGUGUGGCCACGGAAUCUGAAGAAAUACAUCAAGAACUAGUUAUAGUUUCUGAAGUUGAAUCAACUGAUGUUAGCACAGAACAAGCUCAAGCCCAAACAGAGCAAGCUAUUGAUGUGUGUCUUUACUAUGUCAUUUAAAAGUUGUGUCUGCAAUUCGCCCCACCAAAAUUUAUGUUCGAGCUCCGCCACUGUUUGCGGUGACGCGGAGCCGACGUCAUCCCGUCUAAUAGCGAGCAUAUAUGCGGAGCCUAGGGGCUUUUAUCAUUAGCCAGCUAGUAGGAACAAAGAUAUGUCAUUGUCAUUUGCGUGAUGGGUAGGUUAGAUGCUACAAGAUUAAAUGGUCAAAUGACACGACAAAUUUCCACCAACCAAGAGAUUUGGGGGUGGAUUC